rnacentral:rRNA from 1 species
GGUUAAGCGACUAAGCGUACACGGUGGAUGCCCUGGCAGUCAGAGGCGAUGAAGGGCGUGCUAAUCUGCGAUAAGCGCCGGUAAGGUGAUAUGAACCGUUAUAACCGGCGAUACCCGAAUGGGGAAACCCAGUGUGACUCGUCACACUAUCAUUAACUGAAUCCAUAGGUUAAUGAGGCGAACCGGGGGAACUGAAACAUCUAAGUACCCCGAGGAAAAGAAAUCAACCGAGAUUCCCCCAGUAGCGGCGAGCGAACGGGGAGGAGCCCAGAGCCUGAAUCAGCAUGUGUGUUAGUGGAAGCGUCUGGAAAGGCGCGCGAUACAGGGUGACAGCCCCGUACACAAAAGCGCAUGUGCUGUGAGCUCGAUGAGUAGGGCGGGACACGUGGUAUCCUGUCUGAAUAUGGGGGGACCAUCCUCCAAGGCUAAAUACUCCUGACUGACCGAUAGUGAACCAGUACCGUGAGGGAAAGGCGAAAAGAACCCCGGCGAGGGGAGUGAAAAAGAACCUGAAACCGUGUACGUACAAGCAGUGGGAGCACCCUUUGGGUGUGACUGCGUACCUUUUGUAUAAUGGGUCAGCGACUUAUAUUCUGUAGCAAGGUUAACCGAAUAGGGGAGCCGGAGGG